GGCCCAGCUGGAACAAGAGAGGAGGAUACGGGAGCAAAUGCAGGCGACGAUGGAGAGGGUGGAGGCCGAGCGGGAGGCCGAGCAGCGGAGGAUGGUGGAGAUUCUUCAGUACAUGCAAAGUAUUGGCGCCGCUACGGGUGUAGCUCCGCCACCUUCGCUAUUCGCUCCACCUCCACCUCCUCACUAUUCUACUCCUAAUCAAUCGGCGGCAUCGAACGAUCCUCAUGCUUCAGCGAAUCCUUCACCAAAUCAGUUUCAUUGACCAUCUUGGUGAUGAUACUUGUGGUUGUUAAUGGUACUUCUAUUUGCAAUUAUGGUUGUAGAUGAUGGAGCACUUGGAUUACUUGUGAACUUAUUUGUGAUAUAUUGUGAGACAUGUGAUGUUUGUGAUAUAUAUGUGGUGUUGAUGAUAUAUAUGUGCUGUUGAUGAUAUAUAUGUGAUGUUGGUGAUGUUUGUUAUAUAUAUAUAUCUGUUUGUUUG